ensembl:rRNA 5S_rRNA 5S ribosomal RNA
GUUUACAGCCAUGCCUCCUUGAACGUGCCCGAUCUCUUCUGAUCUCAGAAGCUAAGUAGGUUUGGGCCUGGUUAGUACUUGAAUGGGAGACCAUCUAGGAAUACCAGGUGCUGCAAGUG